rnacentral:rRNA from 1 species
GUCUACAGCCAUGCCACCCUGAACAAGCCCAAUCCCAUCUAAUCUCGGAAGCUAAGCAAGGUCGGGCCCGGUUAGUGCUUGGAUGAGAGACCACCUAGGAAGACUAGGUGCUGUAGAUG